UACGAAGGGGGCUAGCGUUGCUCGGAAUUACUGGGCGUAAAGCGCACGUAGGCGGUCUUUUAAGUCGGGGGUGAAAUCCUGGAGCUCAACUCCAGAACUGCCUUUGAUACUGAAGAUCUUGAGUUCGGGAGAGGUGAGUGGAACUGCGAGUGUAGAGGUGAAAUUCGUAGAUAUUCGCAAGAACACCAGUGGCGAAGGCGGCUCACUGGCUCGUAUCUGACGCUCAGGCGCGAUAGCGUGGGGAUCAAACAGG
rnacentral:rRNA from 1 species